rnacentral:rRNA from 1 species
GGGGGGUGCUUACACAUGCAAGUCGAACGGUGAAGCCCAGCUUGCUGGGUGGAUCAGUGGCGAACGGGUGAGUAACACGUGAGCAACCUGCCCUCCACUUCGGGAUAAGCCUUGGAAACGGGGUCUAAUACCGGAUAUGAGCACUCAUCGCAUGGUGGGUGUUGGAAAGUUUUUCGGUGGGGGAUGGGCUCGCGGCCUAUCAGCUUGUUGGUGGGGUGAUGGCCUACCAAGGCGUCGACGGGUAGCCGGCCUGAGAGGGCGACCGGCCACACUGGGACUGAGACACGGCCCAGACUCCUACGGGAGGCAGCAGUGGGGAAUAUUGCACAAUGGGCGAAAGCCUGAUGCAGCGACGCCGCGUGAGGGAUGACGGCCUUCGGGUUGUAAACCUCUUUCAGCAGGGAAGAAGCGCAAGUGACGGUACCUGCAGAAGAAGCGCCGGCUAACUACGUGCCAGCAGCCGCGGUAAUACGUAGGGCGCAAGCGUUGUCCGGAAUUAUUGGGCGUAAAGAGCUCGUAGGCGGUUUGUCGCGUCUGGUGUGAAAUCCCGAGGCUCAACUUCGGGCUUGCAUCGGGUACGGGCAGACUAGAGUGCGGUAGGGGAGACUGGAAUUCCUGGUGUAGCGGUGGAAUGCGCAUAUAUCAGGAGGAACACCGAUGGCGAAGGCAGGUCUCUGGGCCGCAACUGACGCUGAGGAGCGAAAGCAUGGGGAGCGAACAGGAUUAGAUA